UACGUAGGGGGCAAGCGUUGUCCGGAUUUAUUGGGCGUAAAGAGCUCGUAGGCGGUUUGGUAAGUCGGGUGUGAAAUCUCCACGCUCAACGUGGAGGGGCCACUCGAUACUGCCAUGACUCGAGUCCGGAAGAGGAGUGUGGAAUUCCCGGUGUAGCGGUGAAAUGCGCAGAUAUCGGGGAAGAACACCCGUGGCGAAGGCGGCACUCUGGGACGGUACUGACGCUGAGACGCGAAAGCGUGGGGAGCGAACAGG
rnacentral:rRNA from 1 species